GAUGAACGCUGGCGGCGUGCCUAAUACAUGCAAGUCGAGCGAACGGACGAUAAGCUUGCUUCUCUGCUGUUAGCGGCGGACGGGUGAGUAACACGUGGAUAACCUACCUAUAAGUCUGGGAUAACUUCGGGAAACCGGAGCUACUACCGGCUAAUAUUUUGAACCGCAUGGUUCAAAAGUGAAAGACGGUCUUGCCGUCACUAUUAGCUGGAUCCGCGCUGGAUUAGCUAGUUGGUAAGGUAACGGCUUACCAAGGCAACGAUGCAUAGCCGACCUGAGAGGGUGAUCGGCCACACUGGAACUGAGACACGGUCCAGACUCCUACGGGAGGCAGCAGUAGGGAAUCUUGCGCAAUGGGCGAAAGCCUGACGGAGCAACGCCGCGUGAGUGAUGAAGGUCUUCGGAUCGUAAAACUCUGUUAUUAGGGAAGAACAUAUGUGUAAGUAACUGUGCACAUCUUGACGGUACCUAAUCAGAAAGCCACGGCUAACUACGUG
rnacentral:rRNA from 1 species